rnacentral:rRNA from 1 species
CUGCUAUCGGAUUGGUACUAAGCCAUGCGAGUCGUUGUAGCAAUACAAGGCGGACGGCUCAGUAACACGUAGUCAACCUAACCUAUGGACGUGGAUAACCUCGGGAAACUGAGAAUAAACCGCGAUAGAUCAUAAUGCCUGGAAUGGCUUAUGGUUAAAAUAAUUUAUUGCCGUAGGAUGGGACUGCGGCCUAUCAGCUUGUUGGUGAGGUAAUGGCCCACCAAGGCUAUAACAGGUACGGGCUCUGGGAGGAGAAGCCCGGAGAUGGGUACUGAGACACGGACCCAGGCCCUAUGGGGCGCAGCAGGCGAGAGACCUUAGCAAUGUGCGAAAGCACGACUAGGUUAAUCCGAGUGAUUUCUGUUGAAGAAAUCUUUUGUCAGUCGUAAAACCACAGACGAAUAAGGGGUGGGCAAGUCUGGUGUCAGCCGCCGCGGUAAUACCAGCACCUCGAGUGGUCAGGAGGUUUAUUGGGCCUAAAGCAUCCGUAGCCGGCUAUGCAAGUCUCCGGUUAAAUCCAACUGCUCAACAGAUGGGCUGCCGGAGAUACUACACAGCUAGGGAGCGGGAGAGGUAGACGGUAUUCUGUGGGUAGGGGUAAAAUCCACUGAUCCAUAGAGGACCACCAGUGGCGAAGGCGGUCUACCAGAACGCGUUCGACGGUGAGGGAUGAAAGCUGGGGGAGCAAACCGGAUUAGAUACCCGGGUAGUCCCAGCUGUAAACGAUGCAAACUCGGUGAUGCAUUGACUUAUGGUCAAUGCAGUGCCGCAGGGAAGCCGUUAAGUUUGCCGCCUGGGAAGUACGGACGCAAGUCUGAAACUUAAAGGAAUUGGCGGGGGAGCACCACAAGGGGUGAAGCCUGCGGUUCAAUUGGAGUCAACGCC